GAGAACAGUGAAGCUCAGAGAGGGGAUGCCCCAGCUAAGAAGAGGCAAAGCAGGGAUGUGAACCCCAAGCUCCUGACCGUUGGUGCCCCAGUUGGCUGUGUGAACGUGGGGAGUCUACACAUCAGCAGCUUGCUGCAUGACUGAAGAAGUAGAUGGAUGGACAACGUCGGGAUGGAAAGGAGGCCAAGGCCAGCUGGUUAGGGGAUUGGGGGGAUACCCGAUCCUGCUCCAGCUCGCCGUCCCCAGUCUACCAUGGCUGGCUCAUGCCCAUGCACAUCUGUGGACACACACAGAGGCCUCCUCCUACAUUCUUCCCUGCAGGGAGGCUCUCAGGCCAGCUAGAACCCGGGCUUGUCUGGACUGCGAUUCACAUGGGGAAUCGCAGUUGACCCGGGGAAGAGAAGGUGGGACAUCCUGGCAGACAGGGAUGAGCUGCGCUUAUCCUAAAAAUAAAUCUCGGGGAUCUGCCAAGGA